CAUUGCAGUGCUCUACGAUUCUGAGAAUAGAAGAUCCACUCUAACUAUCAAGCCCAAGAAUACAAUAAAGAGAUUCAGAAAGUCAGAUCUCACAACCAGGAAACUCCUGGUUCUAAGUUGUUACAGCAGAAUGAAAAACUCGAGACACGUGAUUCUGUGAACGUUUUUGGGAAGAGAAUUAGGGAAGUGGCAAACAGUUUGGGGUCAAAGUACUAAUGAAAAAAGUAAAAGUUUGGCAGGAAAUGUGACCACAUGAGACAUCGACUGUGAUGCUGAAUGAAGCAGCACUGUGGUCACAAUGUAGAAGCUGGACAUGGAAUUAGCCAAAGGUACGGAGCCUGUGUAGGAGGGAGUGGGUAGGAGCCAGGAAGGACACAGGACCACAGCCCAGGCCUCCGGGAAGUCCAUAGGCGAAGCCUACAUCAAGAAGCGAAUAUUCAACGGAAAAACAAAAAAACUGCUCUGUAGAGGGUCACACAGGAUGUUCAAAGGGCACACAAGGAGAGGAUCUACUGCUCUGUUGACUGAAGACUGUACACGCCACACACCUCUGGCUAAUCAGACUCAGAGCCUGGACACCAUCAAAUGGCAGCCACCCCUCCAACGGCUACAGUAAAUCCGGUUGCAGACUGGAAUGAUAAAAGAUGUCAGAAACAAUGUCCUGAGACACGUUAGUCAGUCGACCCUGUUACCUAAGAGAGUACACCUAGUGCCCAUUGAUUACCAAAUGCCAUUGUUCAAAAGGAAAAGCAGGGUUCACUAAUGCGUUCCUCCAGAGCUGGGGAGAGGAGGCCUGAGAUGAACCCGGGGAGUAUGAUAUCAGCAAGAAGAG